GACGAACGCUGGCGGUGUGCUUAACACAUGCAAGUCGAACGGAAAGGCCCUGCUUUUGUGGGGUGCUCGAGUGGCGAACGGGUGAGUAACACGUGAGUAACCUGCCCUUGAUUUUGGGAUAACUUCAGGAAACUGGGGCUAAUACCGGAUAGGAGCUCCUGCUGCAUGGUGGGGGUUGGAAAAUUUCGGCGGUUGGGGAUGGACUCGCGGCUUAUCUGCUUGUCGGUGGGGUAGUGGCUUACCAAGGCUUUGACGGGUAGCCGGCCUGAGAAGGUGACCGGCCCCAUUGGAACUAAGAUACGGCCCAGCCUCCUACGGGAGACAGCAGUGGCGAGUGUUGCACAGCGGGAAGAAGCCUGAUGCCACAACCCCGCGUGCGGGAAGGCAGCCUUCGGGGUUUAAACCGCUUUCGCCUGUAACGAAGCUUGGGUGACGGUAAUGGGUAAAGAAGCACCGGCUAACUACGUG
rnacentral:rRNA from 1 species